rnacentral:rRNA from 1 species
AGUAACGCGUGGAUAACCUGCCUCACACUGGGGGAUAACAGUUAGAAAUGACUGCUAAUACCGCAUAAGCGCACAGUACCGCAUGGUACAGUGUGAAAAACUCCGGUGGUGUGAGAUGGAUCCGCGUCUGAUUAGCCAGUUGGCGGGGUAACGGCCCACCAAAGCGACGAUCAGUAGCCGACCUGAGAGGGUGACCGGCCACAUUGGGGCUGAGACACGGCCCAA